UCAGGAUGAACGCUGGCGGCGUGCUUAACACAUGCAAGUCGAACGAUGAUCCCAGCUUGCUGGGGGAUUAGUGGCGAACGGGUGAGUAACACGUGAGUAACCUGCCCUUAACUCUGGGAUAAGCCUGGGAAACUGGGUCUAAUACCGGAUAUGACUCCUCAUCGCAUGGUGGGGGGUGGAAAGCUUUAUUGUGGUUUUGGAUGGACUCGCGGCCUAUCAGCUUGUUGGUGAGGUAAUGGCUCACCAAGGCGACGACGGGUAGCCGGCCUGAGAGGGUGACCGGCCACACUGGGACUGAGACACGGCCCAGACUCCUACGGGAGGCAGCAGUGGGGAAUAUUGCACAAUGGGCGAAAGCCUGAUGCAGCGACGCCGCGUGAGGGAUGACGGCCUUCGGGUUGUAAACCUCUUUCAGUAGGGAAGAAGCGAAAGUGACGGUACCUGCA
rnacentral:rRNA from 1 species